UUUCAGCUUUGUCAGUUGGCUUUGUCUCUAGCAGCAAGAAAUAUUUUCUUUUUUGGUCAGAAGGAAGGUCCACAAGCAUUUGAUUUCUAGAUUCCAUUCACUGUGUCAAGGUCUUGAAGUUCUGGCAAUACCAUCUUGCUCCUGAGACACUGGAGUUCAUUAAAGACAUUAAUGAUGGAAUGGAAAAUGGAGGUGGGCAGAGCAAGCCAAAUACAUACCAGGAGGAGUACAGAAGAGAAAGCCAGACCUACUCUCAUAACAUCAGACUUCAUAUCAGCAUCAUGUUCUCCUCUAUUUUCUUCAAAGCACACUUUUUUCAUUAAAUAACCUAUUUAAAUUGUUUCACUUUCAAUAUACAUUAGAAAUAUUUUUAAAAUAUUUGCUAAAUACAUCAGUUGUACAUUUCUUUACUGUUUUGACAAUAUGACCUAUUUUUACCCUGACAGCUUAGGAACCAAGAGAUAAAACACAAACAAACAAAUAACCAAAGCCACGAUACUUUAAAAGUUAUAAAAAGUUAUCUUAUGUUCAGUUACUUUCUAAUCUCAAGAUUUUGAUGGGUAGAGUUUUUUAAUUCAUUAUUUUUAGACUUUCAGAAUGACAAAUGUAAUGUUUUUCUUAAAAUCACUGUUAUUACUGUAAAAUUGCUAUAAAAUUGCUGUAAAAUUACUGUUCAAUACAUUAAUUUAAUACAUAAGAUUUAGAGAAAGUUUUUGCUAUGAUCGAGAGAAAAAUUAACGCUAACUACAGAUGGAAAUUACACAUUUAUAAAGCAUGAGUUCUGUAUUUUAACUGUAAAAUUGCAUAAUCGAGCAAUUGAAUCUACACUUCAGACAAUACUAGUAAAGAAGGGACACUGUAGAAGAGAUCAGCUGCAGAAGCAGGAUUAGAAAUUAAUUCUCUUGUUUCCCAGUUCAGCAUCUUACUAAACCAUAGGACCAUAAGGCUUUCCUUAAGGCCAAACAGUGAUACUGUUUCUGUUAUAAUCUAUUUAAUCACUCGUGAGUGAUUCUGGUGGCACUAGAAGGAGAGUUUGGCUCUAAGGUUUUAUUAAAAUUCUAAUUCACUUUAGGUCAAAGAACAUAUGCCUUUCAUUCAUUUUAUAGAAAAACAACAAACAGCCUCAUUCAGAGUACUGGUAUGCACAUUAUGUCACAGUACCCUGUAUUGGUCUGUUUGUACUGCAGAAGUAUUCAUUUUAAUAGAAGGUCUGUCUGGUGCUGCAUUAUUUUAUUAGUCAGAGUUGAGAUUAGCACCAGAUGGUGUUUUGCUACUCCUAUCAAGCUGUGGAAAAAAGGAAAAAGCCAAAAGUAAACCCCCAAAAUACAACCCAAAGCCACAGUGUAUUUUGUGGGGGUGUGUGAAUAUAUGUGUGCUUUCCCAUUUGAAAGGUAAAGUAUCACAGAAUCACAGAAUCACAGAUUGGAAAGAACCUCAGGGAUCAUCUAGUCCAAACUUUCUAGGAAGAACACAGGAUAGACAAGGUGGCCCAGCACCCUGUCCAGCCGACUCUUGACACUGUCAAUGUGGCCGACUCAAGCACUUCCCUGGGGAGAUUAUUCCAAUGAUUGACUGUCCUCACUGAAAAAUUUCCCUCUUGUGUCCAAUCGGAAUCUCCCCAAGAGCAAUUUGUGUCCAUUCCCCCUUGUCCUCUCCAUGGGACUCUGUGUAAAAAGGGAGUCUCCGUCUUCUCUAUAGCCACCCUUUAAAUACUGGAACGUGGCUAUAAGGCCUCCUCUAAGCCUCCUUUUCUUAAGGCUGAACAAACCCAGUUCUCCCAGCCUAUCCUCC